GCCGGGUGUGGUGAUGCGCGCCUGUAAUCCAAGUGACCGGGAGGCUGAGGCUGGUGGAGCGUUUGAGCUCAGGAGCUUUGAGCUGCAGUGCACUGUGCCGAUCGGGUGUCCGCACUAAGUUCGGUAUCGAUAUGGUGAUCCUGGGGCAGCCCGGGACCAGCAGGUCGUCUAAAGAGGGGUGCACCGGUCCAGGUCGGAGACGGAGCAGGUCAAAGCCCCCGUGCCGCUCAGUAGUGGGAUCGCGCCUGUGAAUAGACGCUGCAGUGCAGCCUGAGUAAUACAGCGGGACCCAGUCUCUU
rnacentral:SRP_RNA from 1 species